rnacentral:tRNA from 1 species
CGCCGGCGACAGCCGGCUGGUCGACGCGGCGCGCGGUCGAGACGCGCGCGGCGCUCGCGCGCUGCUGAGUCAGCGCGUCGACGU